AACGACUCUCGGCAACGGAUAUCUCGGCUCUCGCAUCGAUGAAGAACGUAGCGAAAUGCGAUACUUGGUGUGAAUUGCAGAAUCCCGUGAACCAUCGAGUCUUUGAACGCAAGUUGCGCCCGAAGCCUUCUGGCCGAGGGCACGUCUGCCUGGGUGUCACGCAACGUC
rnacentral:rRNA from 1 species